AACGAACGCUGGCGGCAUGCCUAACACAUGCAAGUCGAACGAGACCUUCGGGUCUAGUGGCGCACGGGUGCGUAACGCGUGGGAACCUGCCCUUAGGUUCGGAAUAACUCCCCGAAAGGGGUGCUAAUACCGGAUAAUGUCUUCGGACCAAAGAUUUAUCGCCUUUGGAUGGGCCCGCGUUGGAUUAGCUAGUUGGUAGGGUAAAAGCCUACCAAGGCGACGAUCCAUAGCUGGUCUGAGAGGAUGAUCAGCCACACUGGGACUGAGACACGGCCCAGACUACAGUGGGAGGAAGCGGGGGGGAAGAGGAGAAAGUGGGAGAGAGCGUAAGCCAGAAAGACAGAGAGAGAGAAUAGGGGAUUAGGGUGGUAAAGCUCGGUUAACAGGGAGGAUAGAGGAAGGGUAGGGAGAAUAAGAUCCAACAAAAUCAAUG
rnacentral:rRNA from 1 species